rnacentral:rRNA from 1 species
GACGAACGCUGGCGGCGUGCCUAAUACAUGCAAGUAGGACGCAGUUGUGAACGGGUGAGUAACGCGUAGGUAACUGCCUAUUAGAGGGGGAUAACUAUUGGAAACGAUAGCUAAUACCGCAUACUAGUAGAUGGACCUGCGUUGUAUUAGCUAGGAGGUAGGGUAAUGGCCUACCUAGGCGACGAUACAUAGCCGAACUGAGAGGGUGAUCGGCCCCACUGGGACUUAGAAACGGCCCAGACUCCGACGGGAGGCAGCAGUAGGGAAUCUUCGGCAAUGGGGGGAACCCUGACCGAGCAACGCCGCGGGAGUGAGGAAGGUUUUCGGAUCGUAAAGCUCUGUUGUUAAGGAAGCGGUACUUAACCAGAAAGGGACGGCUAACUCCGUGCCAGCAGCCGCGGUAAUUC